rnacentral:rRNA from 1 species
UACGAAGGGGGCUAGCGUUGCUCGGAAUCACUGGGCGUAAAGGGUGCGUAGGCGGGUCUUUAAGUCAGGGGUGAAAUCCCGGGGCUCAACCUCGGAACUGCCUUUGAUACUGGGGAUCUCGAGUCCGGGAGAGGUGAGUGGAAUUGCGAGUGUAGAGGUGAAAUUCGUAGAUAUUCGCAAGAACACCAGUGGCGAAGGCGGCUCACUGGCCCGGUACUGACGCUGAGGUGCGAAAGCGUGGGGAGCAAACAGG